UACGUAGGGGGCGAGCGUUGUCCGGAUUUAUUGGGCGUAAAGAGCGUGUAGGCGGCCAGGUAGGUCUGCUGUGAAAACUCGAGGCUCAACCUCGAGACGUCGGCGGAAACCAUCUGGCUAGAGUCCGGAAGAGGAGAGUGGAAUUCCUGGUGUAGCGGUGAAAUGCGCAGAUAUCAGGAAGAACACCAACGGCGAAGGCAGCUCGCUGGGACGGAACUGACGCUAAGGCGCGAAAGCGUGGGGAGCGAACAGG
rnacentral:rRNA from 1 species